rnacentral:rRNA from 1 species
CAUGCAAGUCGAGCGGGGAGAUGUAGCUUGCUACAUUUCCUAGCGGCGGACGGGUGAGUAAUGCUUAGGAAUCUGCCUAUUAGUGGGGGACAACGUUUCGAAAGGAACGCUAAUACCGCAUACGCCCUACGGGGGAAAGCAGGGGAUCUUCGGACCUUGCGCUAAUAGAUGAGCCUAAGUCAGAUUAGCUAGUUGGUGGGGUAAAGGCCUACCAAGGCGACGAUCUGUAGCGGGUCUGAGAGGAUGAUCCGCCACACUGGGACUGAGACACGGCCCAGACUCCUACGGGAGGCAGCAGUGGGGAAUAUUGGACAAUGGGGGGAACCCUGAUCCAGCCAUGCCGCGUGUGUGAAGAAGGCCUUUUGGUUGUAAAGCACUUUAAGCGAGGAGGAGGCUACUAGUACUAAUACUACUGGAUAGUGGACGUUACUCGCAGAAUAAGCACCGGCUAA